AUGAUUGCAGCACAUGCAUUGCUCUUUGUGAAGUCAAUGCCAACAAUGAGUCAGAAGAACACCAUUUGCAGCUAUUUAUGUUUUCACUGCAUAAUGCAUCCUUAUAUUGCUAGUUUCUCAGGAAUUUCUGCCAAAGAGUCAGCCUCAGAUGAGAAGUAUACAUGUCCCUUGUUGAGAUCAGAAAAAUGUUGA